GAAAUUAAAGGUCUGAUCCAAAACCCACUGAAGCCAAUGGGGGUCUUCCCAUUGAAUUUAAUAGGUUUUGGAUCAGGCCUUUAGGUC
rnacentral:pre_miRNA from 1 species